ensembl:lncRNA
GGGGCCCCACGGCCCAGCACGGCCGAGCCAGAGCACUCGCCAAGAGUCGGCAGCUUUGUUCCAGGUGCCGGCUCCCUUUUUUUCAUUAGGCUAAUGGGAUGCGGAUGCAUUAUUCCAUUCCACAUGCUGCUAAUGAACCACUCAGGCCAGUGCAUUUGCAUUAAUGUGCAAAGCACUGGAGGAGGGUGGAGUGGCUGCAUCUGGCCAAGCCUGACCUUCCCGCGUCGCCCAGCCUUCCCGACGCGCGGCCCCGCGGCCCCCGAGAGCCGCGCGCUCCCGCAGCCCCGCACGGACCCUUGAUCUCCCCGGGACGGCUCCGGCACACAUUCCAAGACACAUUAACCAGCCCCAACCUUCGGUGGCCCCGCUGCCGUUGGGCCCGCUGGGCUCCAUCAGCCCUCCCAGCACAAACGCAGGCUGGGUUCCGGCGCCCCGCGUGCUGGGGACCGUGGCAGAGCUGCUGUGCACUGCGCCGCUCCCCUGCAAGCCACCACGUCCUGCAAGGAGCUGCCCCUUCCCUGACCGUGAGCCCCAGCGCCGCGUGUUUGUGGCGGGACCUCCCCAGGCUGCUCUGUUCUGUUGGCUCCCAACUGCCUCCGUCCCCGGAGAGGUUUCGAAGGCGAGUGACCCAAGAACUGGAAUGCGCAAAGCCUCCAGCAAACAGAGCCAGCUGCCUGCGCCCGCACAGGGGGGGCGGCGAGGGGAGAGCAGCCGGCCCCGCGGCACGGCACGGCACAGCACGGCAUGGAGUGCCACGGAACAGCAUGGCACGGCACUGCACCACGUGGCACAGCGUGGCAGGGCGCAGCGCCACAUGGCACCACAUGGCAAAGCACGGCACGGUGCGGAAUGGCACGGCAUGGCACGGCGUGGGGUGGCACAGCUCGGUGCUGCACGGCGUGGCACGGUUCUGCACGGUGUGGCACAGCAUGGCGCGGCGUGGCAUGGCGCACGGCACAGCACAAUGCACCACGGCGCAGCACAGUGGUGUGUGGCGCGGUGCCGCAUGGCACAGCACAGCUCGGCGCUGCACAGCCCCAUGCACAUGGCCCCAGCCUGCUCUCCCAGGGCUGACUGGAUUGAAAUGAGGUUGGCACAUCCCCAGCUCUGGCAAGAGGCCUCACUCUGCCCCACAAACCACUUGAGCUCCCCUUUCCUCGCUCCUGCCUGCUCCCCGCCUGAGUUUUGGAGGCACGCGGACAUCCUGACCUAGAGACAUAUGUGGGGAGGAUGCUGUGCUCCCCACCUGGCUCCAGACCUGAAUCCCUGGGAGGCCAGAGGACCUCUAGGACAAACAAAGCCACCCCAGGUGCCAGGAGGGAGGGAGGACAGACACAACCCUGCUGCCCUCCAGGUCUGCAGGGGAUCCGGUGGGGUCUCAGACAGCUCCGUGUCCGCGAGCGUGCAGAGCCCCAGCGCCCGAGCGCGUGCACGCGGAUGUCUGGGUUUGUCACAGCCUGGUGAGCAAGUUAAUCUCAGGCUCCCUGACACGUGGAAUAAAAUCGCGAUCCCAUAAUGGAAUUCAUUCGUCUUCCUGUCCAGGCACAGAACAAGCCCCCUGCCGGAGCCGGGGCGCGGGAGCCGGGGCCAGGCACUCACUGGGGGACCCCACUGCCCUGCUGGGAACCACAGAGCUGGCGCAUCUGCUGCAGUCAGACACGGAGAGAGGGAGAUGGAGGGAGAGGGGAGACGGCACCCAGGAUGUGGUGGCACUGCUCUGUGGCUGUGUCCCUGCCCCAAGGAUGCCCCUCGGGGCCACCCAAAGCCACACUGACCACCCAUCGCCAGAGAGGGUUUGUGCUGGGGAUGAAGGAAACUGAGUCACGCUCGGGAUAGCCGUGGGGAUGGGGUCUGCACUGUGGCCCCGAUGUGCCGUCACCUUUGACACACUGCCUGGACCCCAUCACCAGGAGGUUGGCAUAAAAAAUGGUAUUUUUUUCAAAUACUUAUGGUUUUGCCUUGUUGGAGGAGGCUUCUUGAUCACCCCUUCGCACUCACCCUCUGCUUCCCUGCAGCCCUGAGGAACUGAACGCAGGAUCUGAGCAUCGCCUGGGGGCACUCCAGGGCCAUGGCUGUUGGGACAGCUCAUGCAAUGCAGCUAUGGUGGGAAAACACACCAUGGAGGUGCUGAGCACACCCCGGUCACCCCAGCUGCAUCCCUGGUGCUCCUUAGCAUCCCCUCCAUGCACGGGCAGAACCUGGGGGCUGUGAGGAUGAGCCCCACCGCAGGGCACGGAGCUGGGGCUUGGCCCCACUGUCACACCAGUGCUAUCCCAUUGUCACUCUUGUGUCCCCAGCUGAGGCUCUCCGGGACAAAGACCUCAACAUCACACACGGGGACAACGCACAGCCCAACCCCACACUGCAGGACCCUGCAGUCACACAAGACAUCACCGAACACAGCCAGGCUGCAGUGUCCCCCCAGUUCCCCGCCAUGCUCCGUGACAGCCACGUGUCCCCAAGUUUUGAAGGCUCAGCUUCCACCACCACAGGGGUUCAGACAACCUGUAGGGGUUGGUGGGGGGAGUCUGCUGACAAACUCCCACCCCUGCCUCUGCUAGCAUCAGAGCUGCCAUCCCUUCCUCCUCCUCUCCUCCUCCUCAUCCGCAGCGACCACCACCAAACCCAGGAGACCAAUCCCUCUGCCUCCUUCCCUGCAACUUGCACCAUUUGCCUGGCAGCCAGGAGGAAGGAGGGGAGCGCAG